rnacentral:rRNA from 1 species
UGGGUAGUCCGUACGAGCGCACCCUAUCCUUAGUUGCCAGCGAGUAUGUCGGGAACUCUAGGGAGACUGCCGGUGACAAACCGGAGGAAGGUGGGGACGACGUCAAGUCAUCAUGGCCCUUAUGGGCAGGGCUACACACGUGCUACAAUGGCCGGCACAGAGGGCUGCGAAGUCGCAAGGCGGAGCGAAUCUCAGAAAACCGGUCGUAGUCCGGAUUGCAGUCUGCAACUCGACAGCAUGAAGUUGGAAUCGCUAGUAAUCGCGGAUCAGAAUGCCGCGGUGAAUACGUUCCCGGGCCUUGUACACACCGCCCGUCACACCAUGGGAGUGGGCUGUACCAGAAGUAGGUAGUCUAACCUUCGGGGGGACGCUUACCACGGUGUGGUUCAUGACUGGGGUGAAGUCGUAACAAGGUAGCCCUAGGGGAACCUGGGGCUGGAUCACCUCCUU